GAUGAACGCUGGCGGCGUGCCUAACACAUGCAAGUCGAACGAAGCUUGACGAAUGAUUUCUUCGGAAUGAAUUCUGAUAUGACUUAGUGGCGGACGGGUGAGUAACACGUGAGCAACCUGCCUUUCAGAGGGGGAUAACGGCUGGAAACGGUCGCUAAUACCGCAUGAUAUGUUCGGAUGGCAUCGUCUGAACAUCAAAGAUUUAUCGCUGAAAGAUGGGCUCGCGUCUGAUUAGAUAGUUGGUGAGGUAACGGCUCACCAAGUCGACGAUCAGUAGCCGGACUGAGAGGUUGAACGGCCACAUUGGGACUGAGAUACGGCCCAGACUCCUACGGGAGGCAGCAGUGGGGAAUAUUGCACAAUGGGGGAAACCCUGAUGCAGCAACGCCGCGUGAAGGAAGACGGUUUUCGGAUUGUAAACUUCUUUUCUCUGUGAAGAAACAAAUGACGGUAGCAAAGGAAUAAGCAUCGGCUAACUACGUGCCAGCAGCCGCGGUAAUACGUAGGAUGCAAGCGUUAUCCGGAUUUACUGGGUGUAAAGGGAGCGCAGGCGGGACUUCAAGUUGGAUGUGAAAGGUCAAGGCUUAACCUUGGCACUGCAUCCAAAACUGUAGUUCUUGAGUGGAGUAGAGGUAAGCGGAAUUCCGAAUGUAGCGGUGAAAUGCGUAGAUAUUCGGAGGAACACCAGUGGCGAAGGCGGCUUACUGGGCUCUAACUGACGCUGAGGCUCGAAAGUGUGGGGAGNCAACAGG
rnacentral:rRNA from 1 species